GGUGCUAUGAUGAGAUGAAACACUUUGUGGUGUUUUUAGGCAGUGGACGUAACCAAAAGGUUUCGCCGUGAGCCUUCAAUUUAACGACUUCUCCUUCCACUGAGUACC
rfam:Vigna angularis cultivar Jingnong 6 chromosome 8, whole genome shotgun sequence.